UUCACUUCUCCCAUGUAGUUCCUGAGUGC
rnacentral:piRNA from 1 species